rnacentral:rRNA from 1 species
CGGCGUGCCUAAUACAUGCAAGUCGAACGGUCUUUCUAUGGAAGCUUGCUUCCACUGAAAAGAUAGUGGCGAACGGGUGAGUAACACGUGGGUAACCUGCCCAUAAGAGGGGGAGUAACAUCCGGAAACGGGUGCUAAUACCGCAUAGUUUUCUUGAUCGCAUGAUCGGGAAAGGAAAGACGGCCUUUGUGCUGUCGCUUAUGGAUGGACCCGCGGCGUAUUAGUUAGUUGGUGAGGUAACGGCUCACCAAGACGAUGAUACGUAGCCGACCUGAGAGGGUGAUCGGCCACAUUGGGACUGAGACACGGCCCAAACUCCUACGGGAGGCAGCAGUAGGGAAUCUUCCGCAAUGGACGAAAGUCUGACGGAGCAACGCCGCGUGAGUGAAGAAAAGGUUUUCGGAUCGUAAAACUCUGUUGUCAGAGAAGAACAAGUUGGAGAGUAACUGCUCCAGCCUUGACGGUAUCUGACCAGAAAGCCACGGCUAACUACGUGCCAGCAGCCGC